rnacentral:rRNA from 1 species
AUUUUGGACAAUGGGGUCAACCCGGAUCCAGCUAUGCCGCGUGUGCGUUGUAGUCCUUCGGGUCGUAAAGUACAUUCGGUUGGGAAGAAAAGGCUCUGGCUAAUACCGCGAGCUGCUGACGGUAACUGCAGAAUAAGCACCGGCUAACUACGUACCAUCAGCCGCGGUAAUACGUAGGGUGCAAGCGUGAAUCGGAAUUACUGGGCGUAAAGCGUGGGCAGGCGGUUCGGCAAGAAGGAUGUGAAAUCCCAGGGCUUAACCUUGGAACUGCAUUCUUAACUGCCGGGCUAGAGUAUGUCAGAGGGGGGUAGAAUUCCGCGUGUAGCAGUGAAAUGCGUAGAGAUGCGGAGGAAUACCGAUGGCAAAGGCAGCCCCCUGGGAUAAUACUGACGCUCAUGCACGAAAGCGUGGGGAGCAAAC